rnacentral:lncRNA from 1 species
AACCUAUGGCCCCUCUGUCUACUGUGCCUGGAAACCAGAAUGGGAAUCACUUCCCCCUGAAAACCAAGCCCGGCUCAAUGCAAGACAAGGUGUUAGGUACAUUGGCUUGGAAGGCCUGGCUGUUGUGAACACAAAAACCAUGGAACCUGUUCCUGCUGAUGGUAAAACUGUUGGUGAGAUUGUGAUGCGGGGUAAUUCUGUGAUGAAAGGCUACUUAAAGAACCCUAAGGCUAACGAGGAGACCUUUGCAAAUGGAUGGUUUCAUUCUGGGGAUCUUGCUGUGAAGCACCCAGAUGGAUAUAUAGAAAUUAAAGACAGAUCAAAGGACAUCAUAAUCUCUGGUGCUGAAAAUAUCAGCAGUGUAGAGAUAGAGAAUACUCUUUACUCACAUCCUUCAAUACUGGAGGCAGCAGUGGUUGCAAGGGCAGAUGAAAAAUGGGGCGAGUCUCCCUGCGCUUUUGUGACAUUAAAGCCAGGAGUGGAUAAAAGCAAUGAGCAGCGUAUAAUUGAGGAUAUACUAAAGUUCAGCAGGGCCAAGAUGCCUGCUUAUUGGGUUCCAAAAUCAGUUGUGUUUGGAGCCUUACCUAAGACAGCUACUGGGAAGAUACAGAAGCAUAUACUGAGGGCCAAGGCAAAAGAGAUGGGACCUGUAAAGUUGAGCAAGUUAUAAACAUAUUGAAAUGAUCAUGACGAAAAACGAACUAGUUAUAAACAUAUUGAGUACUUUAUAAACAUAUUGAGAUAGCCUAUUUGUGAUUGGGAUUCUGCAUACUUAUCUAUAAUAAUAUAGCCGAACCUUUUAUAUGUGGUUCAAAAGUAGUUGUUGGAUAAGACCAACGUGUCACUUAUCUAUUUUGAAGUCAAUAAAUCCAUCCUGGCUUCCAUUAUAUAAUUUUUAACGUGUAUUUUUCUCCAUUAUGUGACGCAAUUUGGGGUCAGGGAUAAUGUUCAGAUAAAAGUCUUCCAUAAACUCCAAGAUUUAAGUUCCUGAAAAUUGGCUGACAUGUAGUCCAGUAUCUCGGCGAUCAUUCAUUAUUGGGUUCGGUUAUAUGUCAUAUUUAAACGUGCAGAUGUCUGACUCUAAGCUAUAUUGCUUGGUUUAAACAGAAUCAUCAUCAAGAUUCAAGCUUACCUUUCGAUAUCAUUAUUAAGCCAAUGAAGCUUCAAGCUAGUUCAUAUAAGUUUUUGACGUUUUACAGACAGAUAUUGAUUGAUGCUUAGCAGCAGUUAGCAUACAUAUUUCCUUGACAAAACAAGUUUCAUAAGUGCAUAUAUUAAGGUUGGCAAUGGCCAAUCACACUCUGAUAAGUGAACAGAUACAUGGUAUGUUUGCUUCACAUUUCCCGGAACUAGAGGAGAAAAAAAUUACUGAGUUUUAUCAUUUAUUUUUCCAUCUCGGGUUUUCAGUCAAAUCCAAACGAAGCAAAACUCUUGAAAGUUGAAAUUUUGAGUUUGCUUUCCUUCUUUGUAUAUUUAGGUUUAGAAUGUGUCCUAAAAAUCUGAACCAUCUAUAAUUCAAGUAACGCAACAACUUCAAGAUUUCUUUCAAUAACUUUUGGCGGCGAUUUUAGCAUUGACAUGCAACAUCUUGAAGGUCAAGUUUAUUAAAAAGAAUAAAAAUAAAAAUGACAGAGCCGUAAGAGAAAGUCAAAGUCGCGUAGUUUAUGUUUAUCCGAAGUACCCAGCAUAUCACCAUUUCAAUUUUUCAAUAAUAUUAUUCGAUUCGAUCUCUCUAAUGGCAGCAUGUUACGUGCUAGACUUGGGUUCCAAUUUCUCAUCAAUGACCUCUACUAUAUAUAUUCUUUUUUUGGAAAUUCAAGAUAUUGUUAUGUUCUUCUAAUUUCUAAAUAAGCAAAUCCCGUGUGAUACUUAUUAAGUCAUACAAAUUACAAUUAGUGUUGAUUAAUAAAGAAAAACUCUUAACUUGCGAUUGCUUUGGCAGGUACAUUAGAGAGACUCUCCCAUUAUAUCAUUUUUACAACAGUGGUGUUAAAUAUGUUUAACUAGGAAUAUGGAUAAAAUAAUUUAUGUUAAAUAUAUUUUUAAUUUGUUAAAAUAGCAGGAGUGUUGUUAGGUGCAUCCAGCAUUAUUGCUGGUGCACCCAGCAUUCUUUAAAAAUGGCAAAACUGUCUCUGCUAAUUUCUUCCCUUACGGAUCAAGUUGAUCCGUAAGUUGAUUUUUAAGACUUAUGGAUCAACUUGAUUCGUAAGGGGUAUUUUUGUCUUUUCGUGAUUAGUGUUGGGUGCACCAACAAUAAUUCUGGUGCACCUAGCAGCACUCAAAUAGCAGGCAUGCGAACAAACCCAGGCUCAUGGAUGCCCAUGGCCAUGUAGAAAGGGCCUAGAAGUAUUCCCAUUUGGACAUGGGCUUGCUCCUCUCAUUCACAAUCUCAGCCGGGUCGAUUGAUUUGUAUAGCACAGGAAAUAAUUGUCUCUAACUUAGUUUUACUUGUGUGAACUAAGCAUAUUUCGAUUGAAAGUUAAGAAUUAAUCUUUUAAAACACUGAGAUCCAAUACUUGAACUUAAUUUGAUGAAUUCAACCUUUAGAAUCAAUUGGGUUUUGAGGAUAAAUUCGAAUUAUGUUUAAAUAGUUUCAUUCUGAUUCAAUAUUUUAGAUUAUUUUUAAAAGUAUAUUUUCUUAAAAUUUGUAUUAAAUUUAAACUUUAUUAACUUAAUGAAUAACAUUUAUAUCUUAAUUUAAAUUUAUAUUUAUUUAAUUCUAUAAUUUAUUUGUAUAUUAUAUUAAUAAAUUGAGUUCUCAGCAUGAUUUCAUAUUUUAUUGAGUUUUCAUCUGUCAAAUUUAAAUAUAAAUAAAUGAUAUAAUGAUGAUGAUGGGACAGAUUAGUCUCAACUCAAGGUAUAAACAACCUAGCGCCACUCACAGUACAGAUAUGAAAUAGUAAAAAUCUAAACAUAAUUGUAAGAGAGUAACAAGAAAAUCUAAAUUAAAAAGAAUUUAAGCAUAAUAAUUUAAAGAAAAUGUGUACAUAUAAAUUAAAAAAAAUUAAAAGAAAAUAUGUUUGAAUUUAUAAGGAAUUUAUCCAACAAUUGAAUGAGCAUAGAUGCUUCUAGCUCCAAAAAAAAAAAAAAAGAGUGUAUGCAACGACAUUUGGAUGUCCAAUAAUGAUAAAUGUGUGGUGAGUGAUGGGUGACCUUGAAACGGCCGGCGAGAGACAAGUUGGACUUUAAUUGAAAAAUGUUUAGUUAACAUCCAAUAUGUUAUUCAACAGCCCAAAGAAAAAUGAAAGAUAUUUGUAAGAUGUAUAAAAUGAAGAGUAAUUUGUGUAUCGAUUUUAAUUUGGUCUACUUGUUCAUAAAUCACAAGAAUGAGAAAUUAAAUUAGUUUGUCAUAUUUAGUUAAUUAUGUUGAUGUUUAUAUAUCAGAUUUUUUCAUCAUUAAGAGAAUAAGUCUAUAUAUAAGACUAUGUACGUGUUCUUAUUUUCGUUGCUAACACACUUAUACAAAAUACUCUACAAUACCUAAUAUAUAUCACACAUAAAUAACUAUUAGUUCAACAAGUUAAGCACAUGCUUUCAGUUUCAAUCAUUAUUUUCAAUAAAGCCUUCACAGUUCUACAAUUUGCUUUAUUUUUUAUUGACAUUUCAGCAUUUUACAUUUCCAUAUCUUUAUUCUCAAAUUCCCUAUCUCUUGUACCCCAUUCUUCUUUAAAUUUGGGUUUCAUUUUAACGCUAGUCAUUUACUUUUCAUUUUGCAUUUCUUCUCUUUCUUUCCACUUACUUUUAAUUUGUGUUAACUUAAAACAAUUAAAAAUAACUACUUUAAAAAUCUUUGUUUUAUUUAUUCUCUUCUUAGUUGAAAAAAAUAAUAGUUAAAAUUGUAAUUAAAAAAAUAAACAAAAAAGGUUAAGAUAACAAUAAAAAAGAAAAAAAAAAUCUGACAAAGGGCACUGAUGAAAAAAAGAAAGGAAAAUGAAAAGAGAAAGGACGUAAAAUAGCACUGCUAUGCAUGCUUAUUUAUAUUUAUUUACCAUCUUAGCAUCUUAGGGAUCAUCCAAAUUUCUCUUUCAUUUUGUUUCCUGCUUUUACUCUUUUAUUCUAUACAUACAUGUAUGCAUGUUUGAUAAGUGCUGGUGUUGUCAAGAAGGCUACGUGGAGAGUAGGAGUGAGCACGAGAGAGAGUGAGGCUGAGCGAGUUAUACCAUCAUUCUUAACCUAAUCCUAAACUUUAACUGAGUUAAUAUUUUACAUCUUAACUCAUUCCUAGACCGGAUCCCAAACAAACCGAUAAUAUCUAAGCCAAAUGAAGACCGACACGUGAUUGACUAGAAAUACAAAUCAAAUAAAAUGAUGAGAUCAUGAUAUAAGAUAGAUUAUGUUCUUAUCCUCUCUUUAAUUAAUUAGCAUUUUGUCAAAUGCUAUUUUAAAGGGGGACAGCCAACAUCAACUAUUUGUUUGAAAAGAUGCAAAUGCAAAUGAGAGAAGGUACAGAGGACCCUGGGGCUGAAAUUAAAUUCACGUGUCGAUUGGGAAAAGACUAGACUCGGUUUAUUUGAAAAAUAUACCUUGAUUUGAUGGCUAAAUAAAACUUAAAAUUAAGCAGCAAUUAAUGUACUGUGUUGUUCAGUGAUAGAGAUCACCAAACCCCAUCACUGAUAAUUUUUUGUUGCAUCACUAUACUUAAUUAAAGGAUGUUACCCUAUGCCUGGCUGCUCUCUACAAAGCAAAAAUGUUUCCCGCUACACCAUGUAUGUACAUGAAAGAUUUAAAUGACUAAAUAAUAAUAACAUAAAAAGGUCAAAAUACUUUGCAAAUGAAACACUAAGAUUAAGGAUAAAUAAAUAGUUAAUCUUUCUACUUCAUUAGCCGUCAUGUACUGAUCAAGGUCAUAUAUAAUUGAGUAUCUAUUUUCAAGCUAGCAUUGGCCAUUCAUUUGUAUAUAAGUAAAUGGCUCGCCAAUAUAAUUAAGCAGGUAUUAGCAUAUUGAAUAUUCGUUUUGGUGAAGAGAAAGCGCAAAAGCUAGGCAGAGAGUGGAGAUGGUGAGAGUAGCAGAGGACAUUGAUCAAUGGUCAAAGAACUACACAGCAUUGACACCGUUGUGGUUUCUAGAAAGAGCAGCACAAGUGCACCCUACCAGAGACUCCCUUCUCCACGGAUCUCGUCACUACACUUGGCAUCAAACUUAUCAACUCUUGCCGGAAACACUGUACUUCUCUCUACUAUGCUUUACUCCAUCUCUCUUUUUCUUUCUCUUGUAAAUUCUAUCUCCUUUUAUUUUUAAAAUCCAUUCCUAUGUUUUUGGUGUCUUUGGUUUUGUAUGAGUUUAAUAAAUUAAAAUCAUCUUUUAUUCAUUUGAAUAAAAAAAAAUCUUUUGAGAGAUGUAGUCCCUUGAAUAAAUCUCACAAUUUAACAAAAUUAAUUCUUAACUCUUGGGGCAAUGCAUAUCAUAAAUUCAUAAAAAAAAAUCUAUCUUUUAACAUUGAAAUUAUGCCUGUUACACUUUAUUUCAACAAAAUUAUUUUCAUAUUAUUAUCUCAUAAUAUAUUUUUACAUUAACUUUUUUUCGUAUAACACUUUACUUUCAAAGAAAAUGUACGACUAAUUUGACGACUGAUUCAGAUACUAAAAGGGCAUUAAAUUUUCCGGAUAUGCUAACUUUAAUCUUAUAUCUAUCACCCCUCCCUCCCUUUUGCACUACCACCUAAAUUCAAUUAUGCAUAGAAUAUACUAUUGGAAAAUAUAAAGCUCGAGAAACUCAAACAUAAUGAUAUCAAUAGUGUUUUUUGUUGUAUAGUUUGUUCAGGCUUCACUUCACUCCAAUUUUGUUUUGUUUGACCCAAUCGUAAUUCUAAUGUGUCAUGUAAUUUUCUCACACUACUUCCAACAGGUAGCUGUUAUAGCACCCAAUGUUCCAGCUCUUUAUGAAGCUCACUUUGGGAUUCCAAUGGCAGGAGCUGUGUUGAACGCUGUUAAUAUUAGGCUCAAUGCAUCCACAAUAGCUUUCAUGCUUGGUCAUUGCUCAGCUGCAGCUGUAAUGGUCGAUCAAGAGUUCUUUUAUUUGGCAGAAGAAGCUUUGAAAAUAUGGUCUGAGAAAGCCAAAACCUUCAGCCCUCCACUUUUAAUCGUCAUUGGUGAUGAAAAUUGUGACCCUAAGGCACUUAUCUAUGCUGUGAGCAAAGGAGCCAUUGAAUAUGAGGAUUUUCUUCAAAGUGGUGAUCCUGAAUAUGCAUGGAAACCCCCAGAGGAUGAGUGACAGAGCAUUGCUUUGGGUUACACAUCUGGUACAACUGCUAGUCCAAAGGGUGUGGUGUUACAUCACCGUGGAGCCUAUCUCAUGUCUCUGAGUGGAGCUCUUAUUUGGGGAAUGACUGAUGGUGCUGUGUAUCUUUGGACAGUGCCAAUGUUUCAUUGCAAUGGUUGGUGUUACACUUGGGCGCUUGCAGCUCGGUGUGGUACUAACAUAUGCCUUCGAAAGGUAAAUUAUUGCCUCAUGGAUUUUGCUGUGCAUUUAUUUGAUGCAAAUGCAAUUCAAGUAGAUGAAUCCCUCAUUAAGCACAUAAUUGAUGAUAGUUUUAAAUAAUAGUGGCAUGGCUCACAUUUCACAUAUAAGGUUGAUAUACUUCCACUAAGAUUUCAAAUUUGUCCUUCUAUAUGGAGUCUUUUGACAGUUUCUUGGUUGUGGUAACUAGUGAUAUAUAGCAUGCUAAUUUGAUGUCUAAACAUGAUGCAAUCAUAUGCUAUGUUUGGAAUGGAAUGAUAUACUCACUGUUUCUUGCUUCAAGCAAAUUUGUUUUAAAAUAACCAAUACAAAUUGAAAUGAACUUAGUUUUCCUUACUAUGUUUGGUUAUGGCAUUAGUUACUAUUACUCAGGUAACAGCAAAGGCGGUAUAUGAAGCCAUUGCCAAAUAUAAAGUGACUCAUUUUUGUGCAGCACCAGUGGUUCUUAACACAAUACUAAAUGCCCCACCUGAGGACACCAUACUUCCUCUACCUCAUGUUGUACGUGUCAGUACAGGUGGGGCUCCUCCUCCUCCUUCUGUUCUUUCUGGCAUGUCCGAAAGAGGAUUUGGUGUCACACACGUUUAUGGCCUCUCAGAAGUCUAUGGCCCCGCCGUCUAUUGUUCCUGGAAACCAGAAUGGGAAUCACUUCCCCCUGAAACACAAGCCCGGCUCCACGCAAGACAAGGCGUUCGGUACAUUGGCUUGGAAUACCUUGAUGUUGUGAACGCAAAAACCAUGCAACCUGUUCCUGCUGAUGGUAAAACUGUUGGUGAGGUUGUGAUGCGGGGCAAUGCUGUGAUGAAAGGAUAUUUAAAGAACCCUAAGGCUAAUGAGGAGGCCUUUGCAAAUGGAUGGUUUCAUUCUGGGGAUCUUGCUGUGAAGCACCAAGAUGGAUAUAUAGAAAUUAAAGCCAGGUCAAAGGAUAUAAUAAUCUCUGGUGCUGAAAAUAUCAGCAGUGUAGAGAUAGAGAAUACUCUUUACUCGCAUCCUGCAAUACUCAAGGGCAGAUAAAAAAUGGGGUGAGUCUCCAUGUGCUUUUGUGACACUAAAGCCAGGAGUGGAUAAAAGCAAUGAACAGCGUAUGAUUGAGGAUGUCCUAAAGUUCAGCAGGGCCAAGAUGCCUGCUUAUUGGGUUCCAAAAUCAGUUGUGUUUGGAGCCUUACCUAAGACAGCUACUGGGAAGAUACAG